GUGCUCACUUCGGCAGUACGUAUACUAAAAGUGGAAUGAUACAGAGAAGAUUCGCAUGGCCCCUGCGCAAGGAUGAUACACAAAUUCAUGAAGCGUUCCACAUUUUU